AAGCUAUUACUUAGUUAAACUAUAUCAUUAUAAGUACACUAUAAGGACUUAAGUUAAAAUUAUCUCUUAAUGAAAGAUAUACACUAGGAGUUAUUUUUAAUAGAUAUUUUGGGUUUGUGAAGUACAUAUUUAGGAGCUUUUGCUUAAAUAAGAUAAAUCAAUAAAGUUAUAAAUUUGCAUCCAUGCUGAGAUUUUGAAUUGUGCAUUUAUUGGAGGUUAAAAUUUGAACUUUGUUGUUUGAUUUUGAGAUUUGCAAAAGAAAAUAAAGAAAGAAAACUGAAUUUUGAAAAAAGAAAAUAAAAACUUACCUCAAGUCCUCUCGGCCAACUCCCUAAUGCACGACCAUUCUGAUUUUUAUAUUUUUCUUCAGCCCAACUGUAGAAUCCCAUUGCACCAGGCCACGUUUUUCUUAUUAUUUUUUUUUUCUAGCCACAGGCUCGCAUGCAUCUUGGUGAUCGGAUGAUGCUGCAUUAGAUUUUUUUUACUGUGUCGCUUGCGAGUGGGCUUAGGACGCCAGGCUCCGUCACGUAACCAUCGUAACCGAUCCAUGCGCAACAAACUCAAUCGGAAAUCGCGGAGUUGUUCACCAGAUGAUCUUCCCAUGGGCUAUAAAACCUGACCCUCGUGCUCCCCUCUGCUCACCACAACCGAGCCAAGAAGCUAGAAUUUCGCGUCGCCAUUGCUGGGUGUGGGAGCUCGUAGUCGCCUCCACAGCCUUGUCGCGGGCAGUCCGCUGCCGGUGCGCGCGCGCGGCUGGGUUGCCUGGACAUCGGUGUGGUACUCUAGGGCAGCACCAUUGUUUCGUGGAGUCCCAGAAACCAUCAAUUUGGCCUGCGGACCUUGGGCGUCUUGGCAAUUGCUCGCCGGACACCCGAAAGUGCCGUGGAGCCGCCUCCGACGUGGACCAUCCCUGCUUCGUCGCCCCUGCCUUUGCGCGAGGUUUCGAGGAUCUGAAGAAUUACCCUGGUAACUGGAAUCUCAAGUGCCAGGCAAGUUGUGGCCUUGAUCACUUCUUUUUACCUACUCAUGUUCUGAUUAAUCAUAAUGAUCUGCAUAGGUUAAUUUUGAUGGGACCCAAUAGGUUACCCUAGUUUGUCUAUCUUUAUGCCUUGUUUACCCCUGAAUCACUUGGGUAGUUCUGCUACUGCUUUAUAUGGUUUUGGGUUAAUAUUUCAUUAUAUCUAUGUACCAAUUAUGUUGUUAUUUUAUUUAUGUUCAUGACAAGAUCAUUAAAUGUUAAUUGGAACAUAGAGCUUAACUUGAGAAACACGUGCCACCACAAGGGUUUAUGGACGCCCUUGGCUGAUUAAUUAGGAAAGCUAGUGGAAGACUACCUUACCCGAAAGGGGCAAGGGCAGUAGGGGAGUGGUCAGUGUAGGGAGGCCCUCGGGAGGAUUUUGCUGCGAUGGCGGUCCUGCAAGGGAUUCCUGCAUUGGAGCUUCCCAUAAACUGUAGCGGGUUUUCUGAAGCUAGUGGAACUUUGUAAAGGCCUCGUAGUGUUACCCUGCCUCGCCUCCUCGGUAGAGGUGUAUGGGAAGUCGCGAUCCCUUGGCAGAUGGGUAACACGACUUGUGGGUAAAGGGUACCACCUCUGCAGAGUGUAAAACUGGUAUACUAGCCGAGCUCACGGUCAUGAGCAGCUCAGGACUCUCUGAUGAUUAAAUUAUGGAACUUAAACUCAAUUUGUCAUAUGCAUUGCAUCGCAGGUGAUGUUGUUACUUUUGUUCUACUAUUUAAUUGGGUUUGGUAUUUACUUAUACUUAGUAAUUGCUAAUAAAAUUUUGACCAACUUUAAAAGCAAUGCUCAGCUUCAGCCAUCCUCUUUGGUAAGCCUUACACUUCACGUGAGCUCCCACCUUUGGCGAGUUCAUGCACAUUAUUCCCCACAACUUGCUGAGCGAUGAACGUAUGUGAGCUCACUCUUGCUGUCUCACACCCCCCCACAGGUCAAGAACAGGUACCGCAGGAUGAGGCGCAUGGAGGAUGCUGCGAUGAGUUUGUGAGAGAUCUAGGCCGUCGUCUCCUAGUCAACUUUGGGUUGCUGGACCGUUGUCUCCUUAUAAUGUAAUUAUUUACUUAUUUUGUAUAGAACUCCUGUUAUGUAGUAAAGAUGUGACAUUCGAUCCUGUGCCAUGAUUCAUCAUAUGUGUGAGACUUGGUCCUAGCACACCUGGUGAUUAUGUUCGCGCCCGGGUCUUUGUGCCCCAAAACCCGGGUGUGACAGAAGUGGUAUCAGAGGAAUGUUGACUGUAGGACGAAACCUAGAUAGAACUGGACAACCAUUCUUUACUUACCCUUGCUACUCUGAUUCUUUUCUAAACUUUUCUUAAUCUUUUCUCAUCUAUUUCCACUUUACUCUGAUCAUUCUUACCUUUUCCUUCUAAAGACAAAUGUGGAUUUCACACUUUGAAAUCCUGUGCCUAAAGUGACCUUUAGGAAUAGGAGACCUAUUCAUAGGAACCACAUCAAAACUAUUUUUUUAUAAAUAUUUGUAUGCUUGAAUGUUUGUUCUUACGAUACUUGUCUGAUUUGGAUCUUUGAUUGAGUGUGAUGAGUUGUGGAGUAAUGUCCACAAUUACAUCUACAUAUACAUAUAGGCAUAAAUAUAAAUGAAUAAAAUUCAUGAGAUAACUAAACAACCUAGAUUAUCCUCCAUUAAAGUGUAUCUAUUUCAUAUAGAUCCAUCUUAUCUCUCUUAUCUUAAUAGAUCCAUCUUAUCUUAAAAGAUUCUCUCUUAUUCCAAUAGAUUCAUCUUAUCUUGAAGGAAUCAUCUUAUCCUAACCACUUUACUUAUCUCAUCCUAAAGUAACAACCAUGAUCUAAUUAAUGAGAUUUUAUCUAGUCUAUCUAGUCAUAACAAUCUAACCUAUAUCUGAUGUGAUAGAUUAAUCCAACCUAACGAAGUCUAACCUUAAGUUGAGCUACUCUAAUCUAAGUUACUUAAACAAGUUAGUUAAUACUGGUAACAUAGAUUAGAUUAUAUUCCUAUAAAUGGGUGCUAAACCUGAAUUGGUGUCUUAGACCAACUCUCCGUGAAACCACAACCUAGCCUAUGUUAUAGGUUGCCCAACCCAUUUAUCCCAAAAGCAAAGUAAACCGUGUUGGGCCUACCCAUCCCAAGCACUGAUCUUAACCAUAUGUCCUUAACACGGAUGGCAACUCUAGGGCUGAAGGCCAAAGAAGACCAACCACGUCAAAGGAGGAUAAGCAUCAACUCAAGUCUUCAAAGAUCAAGUUGGAUCGCCAGAGGAAUCAAGAUCUAGAGUUCAGGAAUCGGGAUGAAGUCUUUCCUUAUUAUACUCUUCCUUGCCACACUUGCUAAAACCGUACCUCAUCUGACCUAAUAAGGUGGCUAGGCAUAGAAGAUACUCAUGGUUUCCUAAUCACUUUAUAAUUAACAUGAAACUUCUUAUUCUUAAACUAAUUAGAAACUAAAAGCUAAACUAUAAAUAAGGCUUUUUUUUACAUUCCUUUCUUACAAAUCUCGAGGACGAGAUUUCUGUUAAGGGGGUAGGAUUUGUAACACCUGAAAAUCCUAUGACGAGCUUUUAGUAAAAUUCUCCAUAAAUUUUGAGUUAGAAUAUCUUUUUAAAGAUUUUCUUUACCAUUGAAGUUAAUCCUCCUAAAUAAAAUAAAUAUGCUUCUAAUAUUUUUUUUUAAAAAAAUUCCUACGUGAACAAAGCUAUUACUUAGUUAAACUAUAUCAUUAUAAGUACACUAUAAGGACUUAAGUUAAAAUUAUCUCUUAAUGAAAGAUAUACACUAGGAGUUAUUUUUAAUAGAUAUUUUGGGUUUGUGAAGUACAUAUUUAGGAGCUUUUGCUUAAAUAAGAUAAAUCAAUAAAGUUAUAAAUUUGCAUCCAUGCUGAGAUUUUGAAUUGUGCAUUUAUUGGAGGUUAAAAUUUGAACUUUGUUGUUUGAUUUUGAGAUUUGCAAAAGAAAAUAAAGAAAGAAAACUGAAUUUUGAAAAAAGAAAAUAAAAACUUACCUCAAGUCCUCUCGGCCAACUCCCUAAUGCACGACCAUUCUGAUUUUUAUAUUUUUCUUCAGCCCAACUGUAGAAUCCCAUUGCACCAGGCCACGUUUUUCUUAUUAUUUUUUUUUUCUAGCCACAGGCUCGCAUGCAUCUUGGUGAUCGGAUGAUGCUGCAUUAGAUUUUUUUUACUGUGUCGCUUGCGAGUGGGCUUAGGACGCCAGGCUCCGUCACGUAACCAUCGUAACCGAUCCAUGCGCAACAAACUCAAUCGGAAAUCGCGGAGUUGUUCACCAGAUGAUCUUCCCAUGGGCUAUAAAACCUGACCCUCGUGCUCCCCUCUGCUCACCACAACCGAGCCAAGAAGCUAGAAUUUCGCGUCGCCAUUGCUGGGUGUGGGAGCUCGUAGUCGCCUCCACAGCCUUGUCGCGGGCAGUCCGCUGCCGGUGCGCGCGCGCGGCUGGGUUGCCUGGACAUCGGUGUGGUACUCUAGGGCAGCACCAUUGUUUCGUGGAGUCCCAGAAACCAUCAAUUUGGCCUGCGGACCUUGGGCGUCUUGGCAAUUGCUCGCCGGACACCCGAAAGUGCCGUGGAGCCGCCUCCGACGUGGACCAUCCCUGCUUCGUCGCCCCUGCCUUUGCGCGAGGUUUCGAGGAUCUGAAGAAUUACCCUGGUAACUGGAAUCUCAAGUGCCAGGCAAGUUGUGCCCUUGAUCACUUCUUUUUACCUACUCAUGUUCUGAUUAAUCAUAAUGAUCUGCAUAGGUUAAUUUUGAUGGGACCCAAUAGGUUACCCUAGUUUGUCUAUCUUUAUGCCUUGUUUACCCCUGAAUCACUUGGGUAGUUCUGCUACUGCUUUAUAUGGUUUUGGGUUAAUAUUUCAUUAUAUCUAUGUACCAAUUAUGUUGUUAUUUUAUUUAUGUUCAUGACAAGAUCAUUAAAUGUUAAUUGGAACAUAGAGCUUAACUUGAGAAACACGUGCCACCACAAGGGUUUAUGGACGCCCUUGGCUGAUUAAUUAGGAAAGCUAGUGGAAGACUACCUUACCCGAAAGGGGCAAGGGCAGUAGGGGAGUGGUCAGUGUAGGGAGGCCCUCGGGAGGAUUUUGCUGCGAUGGCGGUCCUGCAAGGGAUUCCUGCAUUGGAGCUUCCCAUAAACUGUAGCGGGUUUUCUGAAGCUAGCGGAACUUUGUAAAGGCCUCGUAGUGUUACCCUGCCUCGCCUC